rnacentral:rRNA from 1 species
GUGCCAGCAGCCGCGGUAAUACGUAGGUGGCAAGCGUUGUCCGGAAUUAUUGGGCGUAAAGCGCGCGCAGGCGGUUCCUUAAGUCUGAUGUGAAAGCCCCCGGCUCAACCGGGGAGGGUCAUUGGAAACUGGGGAACUUGAGUGCAGAAGAGAAGAGUGGAAUUCCACGUGUAGCGGUGAAAUGCGUAGAGAUGUGGAGGAACACCAGUGGCGAAGGCGACUCUUUGGUCUGUAACUGACGCUGAGGCGCGAAAGCGUGGGGAGCAAACAGGAUUAGAUACCCUGGUAGUCC